rnacentral:rRNA from 1 species
UAGGGAAUCUUCGGCAAUGGACGAAAGUCUGACCGAGCAACGCCGCGUGAGUGAAGAAGGUUUUCGGAUCGUAAAACUCUGUUGUUAGAGAAGAACAAGGACGUUAGUAACUGAACGUCCCCUGACGGUAUCUAACCAGAAAGCCACGGCUAACUACGUGCCAGCAGCCGCGGUAAUACGUAGGUGGCAAGCGUUGUCCGGAUUUAUUGGGCGUAAAGCGAGCGCAGGCGGUUUCUUAAGUCUGAUGUGAAAGCCCCCGGCUCAACCGGGGAGGGUCAUUGGAAACGGGGAGACUUGAGUGCAGAAGAGGAGAGUGGAAGUCCAUGUGUAGCGGUGAAAGGCGUAGAGAUAUGGAGGAACACCAGUGGAGAAGGCGGCUCUCUGGUAUGUAACUGACGCUGAGGCUCGAAAGCGUGGGGAGCAAACAGG